CUUCGACGAGUCGAGUAGUUUGGGAAUGCUGCUCUAAAUGGGAGGUGUACGUCUUCUAAAGCUAAAUACCGGCCAGAGACCGAUAGCGCACAAGUAGAGUGAUCGAAAGAUGAAAAGCACUUUGAAAAGAGGGUUAAAAAGUACGUGAAAUUGUUGAAAGGGAAGCAUUCAUGACCAGACUUGGGCUUGGUUGAACAUCCGGCGUUCUCGCCGGUGCACUCUGCCAGUCCAGGCCAGCAUCAGUUUGCCCCGGGGGAUAAAGGCGGCGGGAAUGUGGCUCCCUUCGGGGAGUGUUAUAGCCCGUCGUGUAAUGCCCUGGGGCGGACUGAGGAACGCGCUCGGCACGGA
rnacentral:sRNA from 1 species